AGCGAUUAGUCAAGUCAUAGUUUAUUUAUAUAGCCCAAUAUCACUAAUUUGUCUCAAAGGGUUUCACAAUCUGUAAGCCUGGAUUCGGAUGAGGAAAAACUCCCUGUGGGCUGGUGUUAUUUUUGAUGCAUUGUAAAAUAAUAACUUGCUCUUAACACAACACUCCUGAUUUAUUACUUUUACACUCACAUUUCUGUUUUGUGUCUCCGCUUUAUACCCUGGGGCCCUCUGACUACAAGGGGGCCUUACCCACAGAUCAGUCAAGAGGGAGGCCCCCAUGGCUGGAGGCCCCCGAGCAGCAAUCCAUCCAGGCUUCCACCAUGGAACACCAACAACAGAAAAACCAGCCAUCAAUAGAUGGUCUGACUGUGAGGGCUUUCUGCCCUCUUAGAUUUCAGCCUGUGAUGCUAUGUUACAGUAUGAAGAAAGGCAGUGUUAUUUCAUACUGCUGCAGCUUCCCAGACAAUCUCCUGAACCUAAACAGCGAUGAAACGAUAACAUGGACACACACGAAAGUGGCAAUUAAAAGCUGCUCCCCGCAGCACCGUACACAAUGUUCUCAUGGAUCCUGGUGGAGCCUCCUGCCAUGGUCCUGCUUGACUACACUUGCCAAUAUCACUGAUAUUAGUGUUUUUAUUAUUAUAAAGUAUUAUUAUAGAUACGGUUACUGUUGUUGCUGUUGUCACUGCUCAUUGUCCCCCAUCGUUGCUGUUGUCAUGUUCAUCAUCAUCAGUCACUACUAUUAGUGAAGUUGUUGCUACUGUUGUUGCUGUGCACGUCUGUCUGUCUGUCUAUCUGUCUGUCUCUCUCUCUCUCUCUCUCUCUCUCUUUCACCCCAGCUGGUCGAGACAGACGACCACCCACCUAGAGCCGAAGGAUCUGUCCUAGGUUUCUGCCUUUUAACAGGCAGUUUUUCCUUGCCCUUGUCGCCAAGUGCUUGCUCAUGGUGGUACUGUUGGGUCUCUGUAAAUAAUGUUAUAAAGAGUUCGGCCUAGCCCUGCUCUAUUUGAA